ACUAAUUUACUGCCGUUACUUAAAUUAAAAGUUCCAAUUGACCAGCUACAGUUUGAAUAUUCAAUUUUCCAAAAGUAUGUGGAAGGACAUGAUAAAUAUUUAAUAGGAUUUGUUAAAGUCACAUGAAGAUCUGAGUCCUCAAGUUCACAAUUGAAUCGCACAUCAGCAGAAGGAGCCAGAGAAAUGCUUCAAGUGCUUCAAUGUCAUCAAGAUUCCACUAGAGAGGAAACAGAGCUCAAAGAUGGAGAAAAAACAUUCAUGUGCUUCAUGCCUGCUGGAGAGGUGAGAAGUAUUUGCUGCUUCAAUGAGUCAGAUAAAAUUUAUCAGACUUGAUGGAGGUGAACAGGCUUUGAAAAAUAUUUUCUUAAGUAAAUUGUGUCCCUUGCAUGGUU